rnacentral:rRNA from 1 species
AUGGCGGUGACAAUGGGCAGCAACUCAGCAAUGGGGAGCUAAUCUCAAAAAGCCGUCUCAGUUCGGAUUGGGCUCUGCAACUCGAGCCCAUGAAGUCGGAAUCGCUAGUAAUCGCGGAUCAGCACGCCGCGGUGAAUACGUUCCCGGGCCUUGUACACACCGCCC